rnacentral:rRNA from 1 species
ACGGCGAGUGAAGCGGCAAAAGCUCAAAUUUGAAAUCCCCCCGGGGAGUUGUAAUUUGAAGAUUGCGUCUUGGAGGCGACCGUGUCUAUGUUCCUUGGAACAGGACGUCACAGAGGGUGAGAAUCCCGUGCGGCACGGCCCCCGGCUCCUUAUAAGGCGCUCUCGACGAGUCGAGUUGUUUGGGAAUGCAGCUCAAAGUGGGUGGUAAAUUCCAUCUAAAGCUAAAUACAGGCGAGAGACCGAUAGCGAACAAGUACAGUGAUGGAAAGAUGAAAAGCACUUUGAAAAGAGAGUGAAACAGCACGUGAAAUUGUUGAAAGGGAAGGGCAUGCCGUCAGAUUGUCAGUGUGGGUAAGAAGCGGGGUACAAAGACUGUGGAACGUGGCCCUCGGGUGUUAUAGCCGCAGUUCAUGCCCCGUCUCUUUCCGAGGCCUGCUUUGA